rnacentral:rRNA from 1 species
GACGAACGCUGGCGGCGUGCUUAACACAUGCAAGUCGAACGUGAUUUUUGUGGAAAUUCUUUCGGGAAUGGAAAUGAAAUGAAAGUGGCGAACGGGUGAGUAACACGUGAGCAACCUACCUUACACAGGGGGAUAGCCGUUGGAAACGACGAUUAAUACCGCAUGAGACCACAGAAUCGCAUGAUAUAGGGGUCAAAGAUUUAUCGGUGUAAGAAGGGCUCGCGUCUGAUUAGCUAGUUGGAAGGGUAAAGGCCUACCAAGGCGACGAUCAGUAGCCGGUCUGAGAGGAUGAACGGCCACAUUGGAACUGAGACACGGUCCAAACUCCUACGGGAGGCAGCAGUGGGGAAUAUUGCACAAUGGGGGGAACCCUGAUGCAGCGACGCCGCGUGAGCGAAGAAGGUUUUCGAAUCGUAAAGCUCUGUCCAAUGAGAAGAUAAUGACGGUAUCAUAGGAGGAAGCCCCGGCUAAAUACGUG